CCUACGGGAGGCUGCAGUGAGGAAUAUUGGUCAAUGGGCGCGAGCCUGAACCAGCCAAGUCGCGUGAGGGAAGACGGUCCUAUGGAUUGUAAACCUCUUUUGUCGGGGAGCAAAAGACGCCACGCGUGGCGUUCCGCGAGUACCCGAAGAAAAAGCAUCGGCUAACCACGCGCCAGCAGCCGCGGUAAUACGGGGGAUGCGAGCGUUAUCCGGAUUUAUUGGGUUAAAAGGGUGCGCAGGCGGAAGAUCAAGUCAGCGGUAAAAUUGAGAGGCUCAACCUCUUCGAGCCGUUGAAACUGGUUUUCUUGAGUGAGCGAGAGGUAUGCGGAAUGCGUGGUGUAGCGGUGAAAUGCAUAGAUAUCACGCAGAACUCCGAUUGCGAAGGCAGCAUACCGGCGCUCAACUGACGCUCAUGCACGAAAGUGUGGGUAUCGAACAGGAUUAGAUACCCGAGUAGUC
rnacentral:rRNA from 1 species